rnacentral:rRNA from 1 species
UACGUAGGCAGCAAGCGUUGUUCGGAGUUACUGGGCGUAAAGGGGUGCGUAGGUGGCUCUAUAAGUAUGGUGUGAAAUCUCCCGGCUUAACUGGGAGGGGUGCGCCGUAGACUGUGGGGCUAGAGUGUGGGAGAGGAAAGUGGAAUUCCUGGUGUAGCGGUGAAAUGCGUAGAUAUCAGGAGGAACACCGGUGGUGUAAACGGCUUCUGGACCAUAACUGACACUGAGGCACGAAAGCGUGG